rnacentral:rRNA from 1 species
GGGUAGAGCACUGUUUCGGCUAGGGGGCCAUCCCGGCUUACCAACCCGAUGCAAACUGCGAAUACCGGAGAAUGUUAUCACGGGAGACACACGGCGGGUGCUAACGUCCGUCGUGAAGAGGGAAACAACCCAGACCGCCAGCUAAGGUCCCAAAGUCAUGGUUAAGUGGGAAACGAUGUGGGAAGGCCCAGACAGCCAGGAUGUUGGCUUAGAAGCAGCCAUCAUUUAAAGAAAGCGUAAUAGCUCACUGGUCGAGUCGGCCUGCGCGGAAGAUGUAACGGGGCUAAACCAUGCACCGAAGCUGCGGCAGCGAACGUAUCACUUAAAGCGAUUCAGCGGGUUACGAUUGACGGAGCGAAGCGACGUCAAAGCGUAUACAAAGUCGAGUCGGUUUAAGGAUACGUUCGUUGGGUAGGGGAGCGUUCUGUAAGCCUGUGAAGGUGGCCUGUGA